GCGGUUGUGGUGUAACGGCAGCACGCAAGACUGUGACUCUUGCAGACCGGGUUCAAGUCCCGGCUACCGCC
rnacentral:tRNA from 1 species